CUCUGCUAGGAUGAGAUAUCUAUCCAUGUAGAGUGCCGAAAGACCACCAUAAAGGCAAUGAUCUCUUGUAAUCAGAUAAUACAGAAACAAAAUGUGAAUGUAACCUUAAUCACAAUAGAGAGAAAAUUCAGUGUCAAAUCAACUAUAAUUGUUUAAAACAUGAUUAUGUCAAAGAGAUGUACUAGAUGAAUCAUUU